AUUGAACGCUGGCGGCAGGCCUAACACAUGCAAGUCGAGCGGAUGAAGGGAGCUUACUCCUGGAUUCAGCGGCGGACGGGUGAGUAAUGCCUAGGAAUCUGCCUGGUAGUGGGGGAUAACGUCCGGAAACGGGCGCUAAUACCGCAUACGUCCUGAGGGAGAAAGUGAGGGAUCUUCGGACCUCACGCUAUCAGAUGAGCCUAGGUCGGAUUAGCUAGUUGGUGGGGUAAAGGCCUACCAAGGCGACGAUCCGUAACUGGUCUGAGAGGAUGAUCAGUCACACUGGAACUGAGACACGGUCCAGACUCCUACGGGAGGCAGCAGUGGGGAAUAUUGGACAAUGGGCGAAAGCCUGAUCCAGCCAUGCCGCGUGUGUGAAGAAGGUCUUCGGAUUGUAAAGCACUUUAAGUUGGGAGGAAGGGCAGUAAGUUAAUACCUUGCUGUUUUGACGUUACCAACAGAAUAAGCACCGGCUAACUUCGUG
rnacentral:rRNA from 1 species